rnacentral:rRNA from 1 species
GGCCUAUUGAUAAUAAUUUUAGGUCUGACCUGCCCAAUGAUAUAAAUUAAAUGGCUGCGGUACACUAACCGUACAAAGGUAGCAUAAUCAUUAGUUUUUUAAUUGAAAGCUUGUAUGAAAGGUUUGAUGAGAGAAUAGCUGUCUCUGUUUAAAUUUAUUUGAAUUUUAUUUUUAAGUUAAAAAGCUUAAAUAUUUAUAGAAGACGAGAAGACCCUAUAGAGUUUUAUAAUUAAGUUUUAGAAUCAAAUUUUAGAAUUUUUUACUUUUAAAAUAUAAUUAUUUAAUUGGGGUGAUUGAAAAAUUAAAUAAACUUUUUUUUUAUAGAAACAUUGAUAUAUGAUUGUUUGAUCCUUAUUUUAAGAUUAAAAGAUAAAAUUACCUUAGGGAUAACAGCGUAAUUUUUUUUUAGAGUUCAAAUUAAAAGAAAAGAUUGCGACCUCGAUGUUGGAUUAAAAGAAAUUAUUGGUGUAGAGGCUAAUAAAUUGGGUCUGUUCGACCCUUAAAAUUUUACAUGAUCUGAGUUUAAACCGGCGUGAG